GAUGUAGAAUAUGAGACUAUUGGAUGAUCACAAUCUGUACACCAUGAAGGUAGAGUUGGUUGAGUGACUGCGUAGAUGUGGACACAUACUGUCAAAAAAAAGUAACCGUAUGCCAUGGAUGUGGUAAUUUAUGUUGUGGGAUUUGUGGACUUGCGGGCUUAUGCUUUGGCAGAAGUAAAUGGGAGUUGGUUUCUUUAAAUAUCCCUUAAUGCUAUGGGAGCUAUACAGUCAGACAGCCUAAAGCAGUUUACUGCAUCAUGUCUUCCCUCAGUUGAGAGCCAGUAAUGUUGUGUGUGUAUAUAUAAUUAAGCACAUAUGUCAUGUGUGCCUUUAAUGCUCAAAUAGAUAAGAGAACGCUAAGGUCCAGUGGAACAUGCCAAACAGUAGCAAAUGGGUUAGGGGGAGGGAGAGAGGAGCAACAUCAUGAAAUUAUUGAGAUAAGGGGUUAAUUGUUGUAGAUGAGUCUUAGUCUAAUGAGGACAUACCUACAUAAUUAAGUCAGUGAAACUACCUUUUUUUUUUCCUUUUCACCAGGAGAGCGCCUGGUAAUCUGCUGAGGGAGAGAAUGGAAUGCUUCUUGGAGGAACGGGGGAUGUUAAAGCUGUCUGGAUAUCUGUAGAGACUUCAAAGAGAAGACUAAUUGUAAAAGUCAAUACUGUCCAAGCUGGCAAGGGAAAAGGGUGUCUCAAGUUAGAAAACAACCUUACUGAGUGCAUUCUUCUGCGUGGAAAACCCUAGUUGAUGUAUGAGAAAGAUCACAAAGGAAAAAUAUUAUGGAAGAUACGAGGGAACUAAAGAAAGUAGGCAUAAGAAACACAAAGUCUAGGAGAGGACAGAACGAGAAAUACCUGUGUGACUUUGUGUGCAUGGAAACAAGUACUUUUAUCACAGUCCUGUAGCAAUGUAUAACAUGCCUCCCACCCGCAAGCCAGCCUCUUUGUGGAAGCCAGGACAAUGGAGAGCACUCAUCCAGACUGGCGGUCAUGUGAGAGUCCUUUCUUUUUACUGCCAUCUCUGAACAAUAGAGCUAUUCCAUGCUGCGAGAGAGA